rnacentral:miRNA from 1 species
AUUAAGAUCACCUGGGGAGCUUUUAAAAAAAUUACUGGUGCCCAAGCUCCACCCUGGACCAAUUAAAUGAGCUCUCUGGGGGUGGGGCCUGGACAUCAGUAAUUUUUUAAAAGCUCCCCAGGUGGUUCCAAU